CCCACAGGAUGUACAUUAGAACAGGCUUCGCUAUAUACAAUACGUGUGUGUGUGUGUUUGUACAUAUCGUACAUAUCGUAUAUUAUUAUAGAGUGAGGCUGUGGAAAGUGGCGUUUCUUAAAUCUUUGCUGAAAAAUUGUGCAACUUUGUGGAGCAGUGUGGAAAAGACUCCCCCCAUUGCUGAGAUUGGACGUCCAGUCCACCACCAGUUACUGGCAACACCUGAGAGGUUUAUUGAGGAGGUUGGCUGCAGCCCCUGCAGGUUUCCAUUUCUUCUGGUUCUCUGGUAGGAAAACCUGCAGACAUUUAAAGCUGCACUAGAAACCAGAGGAACAAGAUUCUAAUCUUCAUCAGCAUCACAAGGCAAAACCUCAGAGCCGAGUCGUGGACUCUGCACGAAGAGCUGAGGGGAAAGUGCACAGCAGGGAUGGAAUUCAGCUCUUUAUCUGGGAAUAAACCAGUCUGUUUUAACCAUGAUAUCACCAAUAAUCUGUUUUGUGAUCAAGAGCCGAGUGCUGGAGCUGCUUCAUUAACAAUAAAUGACACGGGGAGGCACAGGAGCUGCCAGAGAAUACAUGGAUGGAUGCUCCUCUAUCUCUAUCUGAGAUAUACUCUGUCAUGUCUGUAAAAUUUGUCAAAUGUCUCCCAACCACAGGAGCAGCAUUAAAGUUUAGUACAGUAUGUAAUGUUGAAUGAGUAAAACCUGGAUUUUCAGCUGCCAAUAAACCUACUAGUUGCUAUUCAAUAA